AUUGAACGCUGGCGGCAGGCCUAACACAUGCAAGUCGAACGGAGUGGCGGACGGGUGAGUAAUGUCUGGGAAACUGCCUGAUGGAGGGGGAUAACUACUGGAAACGGGAGCUAAUACCGCAUACCAUCAGAUGAGCCUAGGUUGGAUUAGCUAGUUGGUGGGGUAAAGGCAUACCAAGGCGACGAUCCGUAACUGGUCUGAGAGGAUGAGCAGCCACACUGGAACUGAGACACGGUCCAGACUCCUACGGGAGGCAGCAGUGGGGAAUAUUGGACAAUGGGCGAAAGCCUGAUGCAGCAAUGCCGCGUGUGUGAAGAAGGCCUUCGGUUUGUAAAGUACUUUAAGUGGGGAGGCGUUACCAGCAGAAUAAGCACCGGCUAACUUCGUGCCAGCCGCCGCGGUAAUUC
rnacentral:rRNA from 1 species